rnacentral:rRNA from 1 species
AUUGAACGCUGGCGGCAUGCUUUACACAUGCAAGUCGAACGGCAGCACGGGGGCAACCCUGGUGGCGAGUGGCGAACGGGUGAGUAAAAUAUCGGAACGUAUCCGGAAAUGGGGGAUAACGUAGCGAAAGUUACGCUAAUACCGCAUAUGCCCUGAGGGGGAAAGCGGGGGAUCGAAAGACCUCGCGUUUUCGGAGCGGCCGAUAUCAGAUUAGGUAGUUGGUGGGGUAAAGGCCUACCAAGCCAACGAUCUGUAGCUGGUCUGAGAGGACGACCAGCCACACUGGGACUGAGACACGGCCCAGACUCCUACGGGAGGCUG